rnacentral:rRNA from 1 species
AUGGACCAGGUUUGCAUGGCUGCCAUGACCAACCAACCUCCAGUGUCCGAUAACAAGCCAAUGAAGAACAUCAGUGGGGAGAUGCCUGCAGCCGCGACCGCUGGAAGCGGCUCCUUUGACUGCAACAUCUGCCUCGACUUCGCUGCAGACCCAGUUGUUACCCUCUGUGGCCAUCUCUACUGCUGGCCCUGCAUCUAUGAGUGGCUGCGCCCAUCGGUGGUAUCAGCUUCUGGUGCCAACAGCACUUCAGCAAGGCAGCAGUGCCCUGUGUGCAAGGCCGCACUAUCUGCUGACAGCCUCGUGCCGCUCUAUGGCCGUGGUGGUAGCUCGAAGAAAUCACUGGAUGGCAUGGCCAUUCCUCGACGGCCAACGGUGCAUCGGGAGAAUGUUGCGCACCAGCACGCACAAAGCAGCAUCGAUGAUGACCGGCACCAUCACAAUGUGGAGCCCAGCCCUCUGCUCCGGCCACUGCGGCAUGCGCACCACCACCAUCCUGGUGCCACCGAAUUCGACUUUGUCUACCCUCCUUCGCCAAUGGGGCGUGGCCUGAUCCACUCGACGGCCGGAGGGGUGCUUGGAGGGAUGGCAGAGGCAGUGCUUCCGUGGGCGUUCCGCGGCCAGGUGCCGCCGAGCAUGUACUACACAAGCCCCUACGCUGUCGCGGACCACACCUUGGGUCCCCGGCUGAGGAGGCAGCAGAUGGAGGUGGAGAGGUCCCUGCACCAGAUCUGGUUCUUCCUUUUCGUGUUUGUGGUCUUGUGUCUGCUCUUGUUCUGA